rnacentral:piRNA from 1 species
UGCCAUAUUUAUAGUUUUCAGGGAUUCC